rnacentral:rRNA from 1 species
UACGGAGGGUGCAAGCGUUGUCCGGAUUUAUUGGGUUUAAAGGGUGCGUAGGUGGGCUGGUAAGUCAGUGGUGAAAUCUCCAGGCUUAACUUGGAAACUGCCAUUGAUACUAUCAGUCUUGAAUACCGUGGAGGUCAGCGGAAUAUGUCAUGUAGCGGUGAAAUGCUUAGAUAUGACAUAGAACACCAAUUGCGAAGGCAGCUGGCUACACGAAUAUUGACACUGAUGCACGAAAGCGUGGGGAUCAAACAGG